ACCAGACUCCUACGGGAGGCAGCAGUGGGGAAUAUUGCACAAUGGGGGAAACCCUGAUGCAGCGACGCCGCGUGUGGGAAGACGGUCCUCUGGAUUGUAAACCACUGUCCCCAGGGACGAAGAUGACGGUACCUGGGGAGGAAGCUCCGGCUAACUACGUGCCAGCAGCCGCGGUAAUACGUAGGGAGCGAGCGUUGUCCGGAAUUACUGGGUGUAAAGGGAGCGUAGACGGCAGUGCAAGUCUGGAGUGAAAGGCGGGGGCUCAACCCCCGGACUGCUCUGGAAACUGUACGGCUGGAGUGUCGGAGAGGCAGGCGGAAUUCCUAGUGUAGCGGUGAAAUGCGUAGAUAUUAGGAGGAACACCAGUGGCGAAGGCGGCCUGCUGGACGAUGACUGACGUUGAGGCUCGAAAGCGUGGGGAGCAAACAGGAUUAGAUCCCCGAGUA
rnacentral:rRNA from 1 species